CUCGUAGGUGGCCAACUAAGUCAGACGUGAAAUCCCUCGGCUUAACCGGGGAACUGCGUCUGAUACUGGAUGGCUUGAGUUCGGGAGAGGGAUGCGGAAUUCCAGGUGUAGCGGUGAAAUGCGUAGAUAUCUGGAGGAACACCGGUGGCGAAGGCGGCAUCCUGGACCGACACUGACGCUGAGGAGCGAAAGCCAGGGGAUAAACG
rnacentral:rRNA from 1 species